AUUGAACGCUGGCGGCAGGCUUAACACAUGCAAGUCGAACGAGUGGCGGACGGGUGAGUAAUGCUUGGGAAUCUGCCCGAUGGAGGGGGAUAACUACUGGAAACGGUAGCUAAUACCGCAUACCAUCAGAUGUGCCCAGAAGGGAUUAGCUAGUAGGUGGGGUAAUGGCUCACCUAGGCGACGAGCCAUAGCGGGUCUGAGAGGAUGACAAGACACACUGGAACUGGGACACGGUCCAGACUCCUCCGGGAGGCAGCAGUGGGGAAGAGUGCACAAUGGGCGCAAGCCGGAUGCAGCCAGGCCGAGUGUGUGAAGAAGGCCUUCGGGUUGUAAAGCACUUUCAGCGAGGAGGCGUUACUCGCAGAAGAAGCACCGGCUAACUCCGUGCCAGCAGCCGCGGUAAUAC
rnacentral:rRNA from 1 species